rnacentral:lncRNA from 1 species
GGAGAGGGAGACUAAGGAGAGGACGGCUAGGCUUUUGGAAUAGGAGAGGAACCGGAACGACUUAGCUAACCGAGCCAUAUACGAGCUCUUCGCGGUAAGUUUCUUCUGCAUAUUAGCUAAAUCAUGCACGCAAUGUUCCUUUCAUUAGUAACUAAUAUGACUGACUCGUCAAAACCAAAUGUGCAGUCCAUGUGCGAGAAGAACGGUCAGACCCCUCCGCCGAUGCCAGUCAUUGCUCCGGCGGACACGGUGAGUUUCAUUUGAAUGGACAUUACUUAUUAUUCUUCACAUUUGUGUUGCAUCAUGCUAACGAGACAUUGCAAAUGAUCUUUAAUUUGGUGCAGCAUAACUCCUGACAAGCAUCGACAUCUGCCAUUGGCGCGAGCAAGAAC